UUCUGAUCUGAUGUGUUUCUAGCCUG
rnacentral:piRNA from 1 species